UCUCAGUUCGGAUCGGAGUCUGCAACCCGACUCCGUGAAGCUGGAUUCGCUAGUAAUCGCGCAUCAGCCAUGGCGCGGUGAAUACGUUCCCGGGCCUUGUACACACCGCCCGUCAAGCCAUGGAAGCCGGGGGCGCUUGAAGUGCGUUGCCGCAAGGCGCGCCCUAGAGCGAAACCGGUGACUGGGGCUAAGUCGUAACAAGGUAGC
rnacentral:rRNA from 1 species